rnacentral:rRNA from 1 species
GAGGAACACCAGUGGCGAAGGCGACUCUCUGGGCUGUAACUGACGCUGAGGCGCGAAAGCGUGGGGAGCAAACAGGAUUAGAUACCCUGUAGUCCACGCCGUAAACGAUGAGUGCUAGGUGUUAGGGGUUUCGAUACCCUUGGUGCCGAAGUUAACACAUUAAGCACUCCGCCUGGGGAGUACGGUCGCAAGACUGAAACUCAAAGGAAUUGACGGGGACCCGCACAAGCAGUGGAGUAUGUGGUUUAAUUCGAAGCAACGCGAAGAACCUUACCAGGUCUUGACAUCCGUAUGACCGGUACAGAGAUAUUCCUUUCCUUCGGGACAGAGGAGACAGGUGGUGCAUGGUUGUCGUCAGCUCGUGUCGUGAGAUGUUGGGUUAAGUCCCGCAACGAGCGCAACCCUUGAUCUUAGUUGCCAGCACUUCGGGUGGGCACUCUAAGGUGACUGCCGGUGACAAACCGGAGGAAGGUGGGGAUGACGUCAAAUCAUCAUGCCCCUUAUGACCUGGGCUACACACGUACUACAAUGGCCGGUACAACGGGCAGUGAAGCCGCGAGGUGGAACCAAUCCUAAAAAGCCGGUCUCAGUUCGGAUUGCAGGCUGCAACUCGCCUGCAUGAAGUCGGAAUGCUAGUAAU